rnacentral:rRNA from 2 species
UAGGGGUUCGUUUCUCGCUUCUGGAUGAACCGCGGGUGGCGGCCCCUAAUAACAUGCCACUUGGAGUGAACUGCCUAGAAGCCCGCUUGUAUGACGUUAGAGGUGGACCGGCUGAGUAACACGUGGGCAACAUGCCCGUAAGAUUGGGAUAAGUUCGGGAAACCGAAGUUAAUACCGCAUAGGAUCUUCUCCUUCAUGGGAGAUGAUUGAAAGAUGGUUUCGGCUAUCACUUACAGAUGGGCCCGCGGUGCAUGAGCUAGUUGGUGAGGUAACGGCUCACCAAGGCAACGAUGCAUAGCCGACCUGAGAGGGUGAUCGGCCACACUGGGACUGAGACACGGCCCAGACUCCUACGGGAGGCAGCAGUAGGGAAUCUUCCGCAAUGGACGAAAGUCUGACGGAGCAACGCCGCGUGAGUGAUGAAGGCUUUCGGGUCGUAAAACUCUGUUGUUAGGGAAGAACAAGUAUGAGAGUAACUGCUCGUACCUUGACGGUACCUAACCAGAAAGCCACGGCUAACUACGUGCCAGCAGCCGCGGUAAUACGUAGGUGGCAAGCGUUAUCCGGAAUUAUUGGGCGUAAAGCGCGCGCAGGCGGUUUCUUAAGUCUGAUGUGAAAGCCCACGGCUCAACCGUGGAGGGUCAUUGGAAACUGGGGAACUUGAGUGCAGAAGAGAAAAGCGGAAUUCCACGUGCAGCGGUGAAAUGCGUAGAGAUGUGGAGGAACACCAGUGGCGAAGGCGGCUUUUUGGUCUGUAACUGACGCUAGGCGCG